GCUUUUAAUGGAAAAGAGCUUUCCUCUGGUUUUAGGGGCCAGCUAAUCUUGGUGCAAGUCCAAGUAAAAGCU
rnacentral:tRNA from 1 species